CAGCCGCCGCGGUAAUACGUAGGUGGCAAGCGUUGUCCGGAAUUAUUGGGCGUAAAGCGCGCGCAGGCGGUUUCUUAAGUCUGAUGUGAAAGCCCCCGGCUUAACCGGGGAGGGUCAUUGGAAACUGGGAGACUUAGAGUGCAGAAGAGGAGAGUGGAAUUCCACGUGUAGCGGUGAAAUGCGUAGAGAUGUGGAGGAACACCAGUGGCGAAGGCGACUCUCUGGUCUGUAACUGACGCUGAGGAGCGAAAGCGUGGGGAGCGAACAGGAUUAGAUACCCCUGUAGUCCCUGUCUCUUAUA
rnacentral:rRNA from 1 species